GUUUGUUUAUGGCUCCUCAGAUUGCUGUGUAUUGCUAUCGUGCGGUCGUUACUAAAGUUGGUAUAACUAGAGACGCAAGCGGUCGGCAACAUUCAUUUCUCAAUGGGGUUUCUAACUCUAAGUGUAACAGUGUGUUUGACCAUAAUUUAAAUUUACACCGGAGUAUCCCUUUAAAGGUCAACUUGAGUCUGAAAAAUUGAGCAUUAGUGUCACAUUUUAGAGACCGGGUGUCUCUAAAUGGGGGUGAAACUCUGGAGGGAAACCAAACCUUGAGAUUAGACACAGAUAGUCACUAGCUUCCUUUACAGUCGUCAUUUCCCAUUUCUGUAGCACAUUUUAAACCCUUGAUUGAGGAGUUACAACAGACAGAAUGAUAAUGUUAUACAAUCAAUCAGUGAAUCCAGACAAAAUGUGAUAAAAACGCUGAGGGAGAGAAAAAGGGAGUGAACGUCAUGAAAGCCAGACCAAACAGACCUGUUGUCAGAUCGUUUUAUUUUGUGAUACGGAGCGAAUGUUUUACAGUUGAGCAAUACUUUUAUUAUCGGGUUUGAAUCUCUGUCAUGAACCGUAAAACAUCAUCGGAAUCUGAAUUAUUUUAAUUGACCAUUUAGGAAAUCACUCUUCACCGCUGUUAUAAACUGUACUGUCUUAUAAAACUUGACUAGUGCUUAAAAAUAGUUCCUCCAUUCAUCAGCUCCUGGUAAGCAGUUAGAGAGAUCCUGCUGCAAGAACUUGACAAGUCUGCAGCAGCGAUCCAGAGGACCCAUAGACUGUAUAUGCUAUGGACAACUUGGCUCCGCUCUUGGUAUUUCUGUGAUUUUCUCCACUUCCUGGAACCAUCACUUGCGUAGCAGCGUUGUACGCGUUCAGCGGGAGAGUCGCUGUGAUGACGUUCUGCUCAAACAGCGUAUUCCCCAGGUGAGCUACACAAUCUUCGUACACUCAUUGGCUGUAUCAGGUGUCAAUCAUAGAAAACAUGAACCCACUAAUAACCUUAAAAAAUGGAGCUGCACAGAAAAAAGAGGACUUGAGCACAAACCAGUCUGACAGUAACUACAUGUCGACAUCACAACCAGGGUGAAGAAACAUUUAUAUUCUGUGUAAUAAAUUUCUGAAGUUUGUCCACAGCCCCAUAAGGAUUGCUGGAGGAGGCGGGAUUUACGACCCAUACUGCAGUCUGUCACUAGAGGGUGCUGUUCUCGUGGUUGCUUCGUCCAGCGAGGAGGCAGACGGCGUCCAUUCUACAUAAGAUAGGGUGACCAUAUUCUGACUACCCAAAAAGAGGACCCGACUACGCUGGGGGUGGAGUCACAGAGUCCCACAAGGUUAAUUUUGAGAGUUUCUCGGGUCGGAUCGAGUGAUUUUUACGCACUGCUAAUUCUGUAAGUCCACGUGACACAAAAUUGAAACUUAAGUACAAAACCGCAAACAUUUGAAGGAUUUUAUAAACUCCUCCGGACAAACCCGGACAGCCUGCAAAAAAAAGGACAUGUCCAGGUAAAAGAGGACGUAUGGUCACCCAAAUAUAAGAGGAACCUACAGUAUGAUGGAGCUCAGAGACUCUCAGAAAAGACUGUAUAUCAGUGACUCUGAUGGGACAUGAUUUCAAGUGAAGAGGAUGGAGAAGGAGGUAAAAUCUAGACCUAAAGCAGGUAGAGACGGUUUCUGCCCCUUUAGCCUGGACUGAUAGAUGAUUCUGCUUUACCACCCAGACCUGCAGACGGGUCAGUGAAGAAAUAUUUCUGUGCUGUCCUAACCCUUAAAGCCGGAGCCUUCCUGAAACUGAUCCUGGGAGGAGCAGGAAAAUGGGAUCCAAAGAAAGUUCGAACACACUGCUUUGCAUUUUAGAAGAAUCCUCCACCCCCGGUAUCUGGAUCCUUGGCUCAGGCACACUUUGACACACUCUGGUAUUUCAUCUGUAUCCUAAACGGUGUCUCCUGUGGCCUUGAGCGCUCUGAUCAUGUGCGCUGAACCCUGAUAACACCGCCGCCGCUCUUAUGAGGCUCGACUGUUUUGUUUUAAUCUUAUCCAAGAGGCUUUUCCGCUCUUUGACUUUAAAAUGAGUUUCCUUUGUGUUUCCUCACUUUAAAAAUCGAAUCCAGAAAUCAGAAACUAAACGUGGAAAAACAGCAAAGCUUUGCUCUGAGUUUAUCAGGUGUGGACGAGAAGAGGCCAACAUCUAGAUAAGGGAUCAUUCAGCUGAAAAGUCUGGGAAUAACCUUGAGGCCUUGAGGUUUGGUGGCAGAGCCGAAAUGUGGAAGUGAGCGUUUACUGUGUUUCGGUAAAUAGAGGAUCCGCUCUGCUGCGUGGUUGGAUAAAUAAAGAAGUAAAAACAAAGAAAGAGGAGUGAAAACAGACGAGGAGGAGGAGAGGUUAAUGAAUAGCUGAGGAGGAAUGAGAAACAUUAGUUACUACUACAUGUGGCAACAGAUACGAGAGAGAGAGAGAGAGAGAGCUCCGAGUGUUCCUGCAGAGGUCAUGUGAUCCUCUCAAAGAGGCAGAGGAGCUCGACUCUUCGCAUUCUUCACCUCUUUGGUUCGGCUGUUUCUGUCUCUGCUUUUACAGGCUGAAGGCAUGUCCACUCAUUUUUGUCAUUAAACAGAGAGAGAGAUUUCUUCUUCCUGCUGUUUCAUGAAACUUCACUUUUUUCCCAUUAUAAUUAGAAGGAUGUACACUUGCAACCCCAAGUGUGCGGUCACUAAGAAAUCCUUGAAUACUGUCCUCGUCAUCCGGCUGUUUUUGAAUUAAUGAUUUUUUUCCUUUAAAGGUGGGUUAGGUGGGAUUCUGUUAAAGAAGCAUCUUUUUUUGUGGUGUAUAUAUCUCCCCAAAACUGGCACUUCCUCCGAUCCUGCCUAUCCCACCUUUAAGGACCAAUUUAAUCGAUUACAGAAUCAGCUCAACUUUUAAAAAUUUAACAUGAAAUACCCACAAAAUGAUACAUUUGACUGCGAAAGGUCAAAUGUGAUUUACCGAUGACGCUAUUUUCAUAAGUAGCAUCAAGAUAAGCAAAGAUGACUUUGUCCACAGGGGGCGCCAAAGUUUACACAAUCUUGAAAGUUUUCUAGUCAGUGUGUCGGACUUAAAUGCAAAAUUUGGAGCAACUUUAAACAAUUGAAGUCCAAAGUUUGCACAUUUUUGCUCUGUUUUUGGUCUCCUCCACACCUCGAAGGACACAUCAGGCUGUGUCUUCAGAAAACGCUCCUCCAGCUCGUCUGUUGUUUGUUGCUUUGAAGGGGAAAUCGACUUGAAUUGAUCCAGAGUCGUGUUCGUGCCAACAGCUGCUUGUUGUGUCUGGAUAUGAUGUUAAACUAAACAGAAAAGAUGUGGGCAGUUAAGACGAAAAAAAAAAAACACUCAAAUGUUCCGGCAGAGCUGUGUGGGGAACUCCAGAUCUGGAUGCUGAUACUCUGCGGACUCAUCACUGUGACCGAUUGGAGAAAAAUCUAAAACAGCUGAGCCAUUCUGACUUUUAUCCAGAUCGUGUUGAUGCUGCGGCGCUUCACUCUGGAUCCUCCGAAAACAAGCGCCAAGUUGUCUCUUUUAGUCUGCCAUGCGUGGCUUUGAUGACGGCUGAGUUACUAGGAUGUCAGGGAAAUGUGUGCGUUUUAGUGAAGGGGGGAGAAAAGGGGGCUUUACAAACACUACCAGCUGCCAGCUGCUUGUAGCGCACAUGCAUGGCUUCCCCUCCGCUCUCUCCUUAAGUAGGAUUCACUUCCCGUUAAUGGCAUUAAGAGCGGUCUGGGGUGGAAAUCAGCGAUGAGGGCAAUCACUGGGACAUCAAGGCCCUCCUAAAAAAAAAACCAGAGCCAGAUGACAGUAAGCAGCUCCAUAUGGGGUUCAUGCACACGCAAACACGUACAGCCGCAACUCAGACUCAAACACGUUGCACAAGACCCCACAUGAUUCUGACAAACAUGCACGCCUGUGCACACUCGCUGACACAGUCUCCAGCUCACACGCGACCCUCUCUCAUGGCGGCCUGCGGGAGGUGAUGUGGCCGUCGUGAAGUUGUUUUCCCGCUCUGGCACGCUGGGUAAAAAAAAGUCCCCGCCCUCUACAAUAAAUCACUUAUGCUUUUCCUCCGUCGUUGUGAUGGGAUGCACACAGAGUUUCCUUUUCCUCUUUUUUCUUCCUGCUCGAAAAAAUAGAGCUUCCCUCCCUCUGUUUUAGUAACAGAGCUCUCUUUUUAAAGAGUAACCUUUUGGCCUUGAACUGAAUUGUUUCUGUUUCUUCUGAUGCUUCAACUACUUGUUGCAGAAAGGAGGGACAGGAAGCUGAGUCAAGGUUUGGGAUCCUGCAUGUAUUAGCGGUUCUAAUAGGACCCUGAAUCCCAAACACUAGAGAUAAAAGGAAAACAACAACUGAAGGUUGGAGCUAAAUUUGAAGGGAGAAGAUAAGGAAACUAACCGUUUGGAGGCUGCUGUUGAACUCUCAGUCGUGUCGUGCUGCUGCAGUGAUCCUAGCCUGCUGAAGUUACGUACUUAGAGAACAUUCCUGCAGUUU
rnacentral:lncRNA from 1 species